rnacentral:rRNA from 1 species
AUUGAACGCUGGCGGCAGGCCUAACACAUGCAAGUCGAACGAGUGGCGGACGGGUGAGUAAUGUCUGGGAAACUGCCUGAUGGAGGGGGUUAACUACUGGAAACGGUAGCUAAUACCGCAUACCAUCAGAUGUGCCCAGAUGGGAUUGGCUUGUUGGUGGGGUAACGGCUCACCACGGCGACGAUCCCUAGCUGGUUUGAGAGGAUGACCAGCCGACCAGGAACUGAGCCACGUUCCAGAGUCCUACAGGAGGCAGCUGUGAGGAUUUUUGUACAAAUGGUGAAAUCCUGAUCAAGCCAUGCCGAGUGUAUUAAGAAGGCCUUGGGGUUGUAAAGUACUUCCAGCGGGGAGGCGUUACCCGCAGAAGAAGCACCGGCUAACUCCGUGCCAGCAGCCGCGGUAAUAC